AUGUCGGAGCUCGCGGCCGUGAGCUCCCUACUACUGCGCAUCAUCCGCGAUGAGGCGCUACUUCUGGGAGGCGUACGCAAGGACGUGCAGUUCAUCUGGGAGGAGAUGGAGAGCAUGCAGGGCUUCCUGUCGCACCUGGAAAGGACGGUGCCUACCGGCGGCGAGUACAACGAGCAGAUCACCCCGUGGAAGAACCAGGUCCGACAGCUCGCAGAGGACUGCAACUACUGCAUCGACAUCUACAUGUCCCGCGGCAACCCCGAGAUUCAUCAUGCCAGGGGCGGCCUCCUAAGCUACAUCUGGUGGCUUCCCUGGUUCGUGCAAAAGAUGUCCGCUCAACAUCGUGCAGCCAUCCAGCUGCGGGAGCUCAAAGACCGGGCACGUGACAUUGGCGAGCGGAGAUUGAGGUAC
rnacentral:rRNA from 1 species